rnacentral:rRNA from 1 species
ACGCGAAGAACCUUACCUGGACUCGAAAUCUAGUUGACAGUCUCAGAGAUGAGAUCUUCCCGCAAGGGACGGCUGGAUAGGUGCUGCAUGGCUGUCGUCAGCUCGUGUCGUGAGAUGUUGGGUUAAGUCCCGCAACGAGCGCAACCCUUACCCUUAGUUGCUAAUCCGCAAGGAAAGCACCCUAAGGGAACUGCCUGGGAUAACCAGGAGGAAGGUGGGGAUGACGUCAAGUCCUCAUGGCCUUUAUGCCCAGGGCUACACACGUGCUACAAUGGCCGGUACAAAACGUCGCAAACCCGCGAGGGGGAGCCAAUCGUCAAAAACCGGUCUCAGUUCGGAUUGCAGGCUGCAACUCGCCUGCAUGAAGCUGGAAUCGCUAGUAAUCGCGUAUCAGAACGACGCGGUGAAUACGUUCCCGGGCCUUGUA